CCCUAGUGGGCUCAGACAGUAGAGAAUCUGCCUGCAAUGCAGGGGACCAGGUUCGAUCCCUGAGUAGGGA
rnacentral:tRNA from 1 species